CUCUCCUUCUCUCUUUAGAGUUUUUUUCUCUCUAUUCUCUCUUCAUUUGAUUCAUGGACCCUCGUAUGAACUUAAGAUGAUGUACCUAAGCAGUUCGAAACUGCUUUAAUAUCUAUGCAAGAUGUCAGACCCCACCCCAAUCAUGUCAAAUACCUCGAAACCUACUAUUGAUGAACCUAUUGAUUGACCUUGGCUUUGAUUCCACUUCAUAUUUCAUGAUUCUUUGAUCGAGUCACCUACAUC
rnacentral:lncRNA from 1 species